rnacentral:rRNA from 1 species
AUUGAACGCUGGCGGCAGGCCUAACACAUGCAAGUCGAGCGGAUGAAGGGAGCUUGCUCCUGGAUUCAGCGGCGGACGGGUGAGUAAUGCCUAGGAAUCUGCCUGGUAGUGGGGGAUAACGUCCGGAAACGGGCGCUAAUACCGCAUACGUCCUGAGGGAAAAAGUGGGGGAUCUUCGGACCUCACGCUAUCAGAUGAGCCUAGGUCGGAUUAGCUAGUUGGUGGGGUAAAGGCCUACCAAGGCGACGAUCCGUAACUGGUCUGAGAGGAUGAUCAGUCACACUGGAACUGAGACACGGUCCAGACUCCUACGGGAGGCAGCAGUGGGGAAUAUUGGACAAUGGGCGAAAGCCUGAUCCAGCCAUGCCGCGUGUGUGAAGAAGGUCUUCGGAUUGUAAAGCACUUUAAGUUGGGAGGAAGGGCAGUAAGUUAAUACCUUGCUGUUUUGACGUUACCAACAGAAUAAGCACCGGCUAACUUCGUG